GAUGAACGCUGGCGGCGUGCCUAAUACAUGCAAGUCGAGCGAACAGAUGAGGAGCUUGCUCCUCUGACGUUAGCGGCGGACGGGUGAGUAACACGUGGAUAACCUACCUAUAAGACUGGGAUAACUUCGGGAAACCGGAGCUAAUACCGGAUAAUAUAUUGAACCGCAUGGUUCAAUAGUGAAAGACGGUUUUGCUGUCACUUAUAGAUGGAUCCGCGCCGCAUUAGCUAGUUGGUAAGGUAACGGCUUACCAAGGCAACGAUGCGUAGCCGACCUGAGAGGGUGAUCGGCCACACUGGAACUGAGACACGGUCCAGACUCCUACGGGAGGCAGCAGUAGGGAAUCUUCCGCAAUGGGCGAAAGCCUGACGGAGCAACGCCGCGUGAGUGAUGAAGGUCUUCGGAUCGUAAAACUCUGUUAUUAGGGAAGAACAAAUGUGUAAGUAACUAUGCACGUCUUGACGGUACCUAAUCAGAAAGCCACGGCUAACGACG
rnacentral:rRNA from 1 species